AUUAAGUGAGAUAAUAAAAAUAAACAGUUUGCACACUGGUCAUAUAAUAUUCACUUGCACUGGCCCAGAGAAAGGGUUCAAUAAAUGAUUGAUAAAUAAUUGAUGACCUAUACUUUGCAUUUUGGGAACCUCACCAAAAAAAAAAAAAAAAAGUCUACUCUUGCCCCAGAGAGCAACAGAAGAGAGAGGAUGUUUACCAGGUCUCCUUCCAAUCUCUUCUCGCCUUCCUCACCUACCCUCCAGCUGUUUCUCAUGUCUAGACACCGGUCACAUGGAGUGGCUGCCCAGGUCACUGUGAGAGAAACCAAAUGGGGAAAUUCACAGGCCCAUUCCAAGCCCUGACUCCCCCGCCCCCUGGUUACCCAGCCUCACUUCCGUUUCCCAAACAAGGCAGGCUUUGCAAGAUGCUACCUUGAUUUUCCACUCUUUCAACAAGAGGCGACUUUAAAGGACAGCCGAAGAGCUUAACCUGGGUGAGGCCCACGGCGUGGAAACAUCCGAUGAGCCCAUGACACACAUGUGCAAGGUUAUGCAAAUCAUCACAGCACAGCUUAACAUAUGUCGUAACAGCUGUGGGCUAAGACAGCUCGGCAGCCACAGAUGAAGAAGUGCAGCCCAGACUUCCUUGGAGAAAAAGGCCUUGGAUGAGAGCUAUAGGAGAAGUGGCCAUCCUCCAGGCAAAGAGAAUCGGUGCAGAAAGAACAGUUUCUUUUGGGAAAGAGGACUCUAGCCGACCAACUAGAAACUCAUUGCCACAGUUCCCGUGGGUGCGUGAUGCUGGUAGCUUCGGAUGCGAUGGUGGCAGUCGGAGAUGGGGGAAUCUUUGGAAGGAUGUGCUGUGGAGUGACACACAUGUGUUUCAUAAGGAGCAUCGUCAUUUUCUCUGCAUUUGGACAGGUCCACAUCCUCACAUUGAUAAGGUGGAGUGUGCGGCUGGGUCUCACCUCCUUUCCUGCAGACAGUAGUUCCCCAUGUGGAGGAGAGAUGGACUGGCUCACCCCAGUUGGAGAACAAAGACUCCUUGGAAAAAUGAAACCUGUAGAUCACAGCUGAACUUCACCCCUGAUAACUUCCUUCUGAGAACUCACUCUUUAAAGUCUUGUUCCAGAAAUUGUAAGAAUUCAAGCAAGAAAAACAACAGCAAUAAUAAAACCAGUAGGCUUAUGUUUCUCUGGUGAGUAGGUAAGAACGUGAUUGCGCUUGGCUUUGGAAGUUCUCAGAUGGAGAUCCACUUCCUCCGAUUAUUGACUGUGAGAAGAUGGGAUGCUCAUAAUGUCUCUCUGAAUCUUCAACUCCCAAUCAAUCGCUGUCCUGACAUCUCCUAAGAUUGCUCUUUAGAGCAACCAGAGUAUUAUGAAAUAGCUCAGCACAUUGGAAAGCAAAAAGCGGAGCACGCGUAAUAUUUAUUAUGUUUUUUCCUCUUGCUAUUUCGUCAAAAAGGGUAAAAUUCACUACAUUCUCAAAUGAUCAAAAAGUGAUUGUUCAGUCUCAAGGCUGACACAGCUCUGCAGGCUGUAUACUGAAUGUCCAGAGGGUUCCCGGAUGGGGUACAAUCCCACCCAAGGUACCCUGGAACGGGAAUGCUGAACUCCUUUGUUCUUGUAAGUUCACACAAAAGAACUCUUCUGGUUAAUAGAAACCUGUUGAUAUGAAAGAAACCUGGGCUCUGAAAAUAUUUCACUAAAUAUAUGUAUAAUAUCAUUCAAUUACACACAUCUCAAAGUACAGGAAUUAUAAUCAAGAAGCCUGGAUUCUAGUCCUGGCUUUGUUGGAAAUCAGUAAUUUUAAGCUAUUUUCUUGGCUACUUUGAGUUUCUACUUGCUCAUUUGUAGAAUAAGGCAGUGACCUUCCCUCUAAUCUGGAUAAUUAAAUUAAAAGUUAAGUAUAUUUCUUUAGUACUCUGAAAAUGGAGACGUACUCAUCAUUCAGUGGAUGCUCUAAAUGCAUCUAGCCCAAUUAUCUGCCUUAUUAAAAAAUUCCUGACAAUCUGUAAUCGGUUCCUAAGAUCAACGAGCCAAAUCUUCAGAAAUCCAUGUUGUCAGCCACCACCUGGCACAGAGGUGGGUGGGUGUUCUUCAUCCACUGGAGAGACCCACGCCCGCCUUCUAUCUCCCUUGUCCAUCGGGGUUAGUCUCCUAAUUCCCUUACUCA